rnacentral:rRNA from 1 species
AACGAACGCUGGCGGCAUGCCUAACACAUGCAAGUCGAACGAGACCUUCGGGUCUAGUGGCGCACGGGUGCGUAACGCGUGGGAACCUGCCCUCAGGUUCGGAAUAACUCCCCGAAAGGGGUGCUAAUACCGGAUAAUGUCUUCGGACCAAAGAUUUAUCGCCUUUGGAUGGGCCCGCGUUGGAUUAGCUAGUUGGUAGGGUAAAAGCCUACCAAGGCGACGAUCCAUAGCUGGUCUGAGAGGAUGAUCAGCCACACUGGGACUGAGACACGGCCCAGACUCCUACGGGAGGCAGCAGUGGGGAAUAUUGGACAAGGGGCGAAAGCCUGAUCCAGCAAUGCCGCGUGAGUGAUGAAGGCCUUAGGGUUGUAAAGCUCUUUUACCCGGGAUGAUAAUGACAGUACCGGGAGAAUAAGCUCCGGCUAACUCCGUG